AUGCAGCAGUGGAUAGGUCCCUAGUUUGAAGGCAGAACAGAGCAGGAGGGAUAGGAAGUUUUGAUUCAAUGUGUGAAGCAGUUCAAGGUGCAUAAAGCACUUUUAUCCUCYAUGUAAAUUCACAUCUAAAUCUGAAACUGGAGUCAAGCAGACUGUCAAUGAUCAGAAAAUAAUGGUCCCCAGGCUUGUAUGUUUAGCUAGUCUUAAGACUUUUUCUUUAUUUUUGAGUGGUUGGCCAAGUCUUUGCUCAUGUAUGGUGCAGAUGAAGAGGACGUAUGCCUGCCCCAGCCUGUCAGUGGACAUACCAGAUGUUUACUCCACUGUUCCUCUACAUCAAGUUGUCACAAGUUGAAGCACCUCAGACUUGCAGAGGAUUGCUUCUUUUUCAAGAUUGGAAGAAGCAGUAUAAACAGCGGGGUGGAGAGGUGCACAGAGCAAGCUCCUGCCAACACCUUGAAUGUGUCCAGAGAUGGUGCCAGGCAGCUUCAUCCUUGGCUGAAAGGCUGGAGUGCGAAGCCUGAGACCGCUGGGAUGGUCUCUGCUGCAGCUGCCACGCUUGGCCUCCACACAGUUCCCCUGUAG
rnacentral:lncRNA from 1 species